CAGCAGCCGCGGUAAUACGUAGGUGGCAAGCGUUGUCCGGAAUUAUUGGGCGUAAAGGGCUCGCAGGCGGUUUCUUAAGUCUGAAGUGAAAGCCCCCGGCUCAACCGGGGAGGGUCAUUGGAAACUGGGAAACUUGAGUGCAGAAGAGGAGAGUGGAAUUCCACGUGUAGCGGUGAAAUGCGUAGAGAUGUGGAGGAACACCAGUGGCGAAGGCGACUCUCUGGUCUGUAACUGACGCUGAGGAGCGAAAGCGUGGGGAGCGAACAGGAUUAGAUACCCCAGUAGUCCCUGUCUCUUAUAC
rnacentral:rRNA from 1 species